GUACAUGCCGUAUUAAGGCGAAACCGCGAAUGGCUCAUUAAAUCAGUUAUGGUUCCUUGGAUCGUACCUUACUACUUGGAUAACUGUGGUAAUUCUAGAGCUAAUACAUGCAGCAGAGAUCCGACCUUCGGGGACGAUCGCUUUUAUUAGACCAAAACCAAUCGGACUCUGUCCGUCUCUUGUGGUGACUCUGAAUAACUUUGGGCUGAUCGCACGGGCCCGUCCCGGCGACGUAUCUUUCAAGUGUCUGCCUUAUCAACUUUCGAUGGUAGGUUACGCGCCUACCAUGGUCGUAACGGGUAACGGGGAAUCAGGGUUCGAUUCCGGAGAGGGAGCCUGAGAAACGGCUACCACAUCCAAGGAAGGCAGCAGGCGCGCAAAUUACCCACUCCCAGAACGGGGAGGUAGUGACGAAAAAUAACAAUACGGGACUCUUUUGAGACCCCGUAAUUGGAAUGAGUACACUCUAAAUCCUUUAACGAGGAUCCAUUGGAGGGCAAGUCUGGUGCCAGCCGCCGCGGUAACUCCAGCUCCAAUAGCGUAUAUUAAAGUUGUUGCGGUUAAAAAGCUCGUAGUUGGAUCUCAGUUCCAGACGGGUGGUCCGCCUACCGGUGGUUACUGCCUGUUCUGAACAGCCAGCCGGUUUCUCUUGAUGAUCUUCACCGGUUGUCUUGGGUGACCGGCAAGUUUACUUUGAAAAAAUUAGAGUGCUCAAAGCAGGCGUGACGCCUGAAUAAUGGUGCAUGGAAUAAUGGAAUAGGACCUCGGUUCUAUUUUGUUGGUUUUCGGAACACGAGGUAAUGAUUAAGAGGGACAGACGGGGGCAUUCGUAUUGCGACGCUA
rnacentral:rRNA from 1 species